GUUAGGAUGGCCGAUCGGUCGAAGGCGCUGCGUUUAGCUCACAUCUAAGGGCGUGGGUUCAAGGCGCUGCGUUUCACUUAAUCCCACUUCUGAUA